UUUCAUUGUGGACUUUUUUUUUUUUUACAUUUUAAAAAUUUAUUUAUUUAUUUAUUUAUUUAUUUAUUUAUUUAUUUAUUGCAUUUUUAAGAUUUAUUUUUUAUUUAUUUAUUUUUUAAUAAAUUUAUUUUUUAUUGGUGUUCAAUUUGCCAACAUACAGAAUAACACCCAGUGCUCAUCCCGUCAAGUGCCCCCCUCAGUGCCCGUCACCCAGUCACCCCCACCCCCCGCCCUCCUCCCCUUCCACCACCCCUAGUUCGUUUCCCAGAGUUAAGAGUCUUUCAUGUUCUGUCUCCCUUUCUGAUAUUUCCCACUCAUUUUUUCUUCUUUCCCCUUUAUUCCCUUUCACUAUUUUUUAUAUUCCCCAAUUGAAUGAGACCAUGUUUGUCCUUCUCCGAUUGACUUAUUUCACUCAGCAUAAUACCCUCUAGUUCCAUCCACGUCGAAGCAAAUGGUGGGUAUUUGUCGUUUCUAAUGGCUGAGUAAUAUCAAUUUGCCAUUGUGGACUUUUUGCACUGAUUUGGUUUUUAAAAAUAUUGGAUUAAAAUUUUGUUGAUGACUUGAGGUUUUUGGAGCCGCCUUAAAUUUUCACCCCAGGGGGGUGCUCCAUUUACCCUACAUUAGGUCCAGCCCUGAGAAGAAGCAUUGUGUGGAUCCAAAUAUUCCCCACCCAUCCCACCCCUGUUACUUCUAUGCAGAUAUAAACAUAGUUUUCUACCUGGAAUAAUAAUAUUCAUAUACAAAUUUUUACUCUCAGACUGUGACUAGGCAUCAGUGAUCCUGAGGACUUGUAAAUAGGAAAGCCAUCCUAAUACUGGUUAUGGGAACAGAACAGAUUCCACUUAUGAGGAAAGUCAACUGCAAAAGCUCAGAGAAGCAUGUGGCUUAUUUGAAGUGGAGAGAGCAAGAAGCCACCUUCGCAUCCCAUUGCAGCUCAUCACAGAAUAUCAGGUUUUCGUCUUUAACUCACCCUACAAGCUGCUGCCAGGUAUGUGCUCCUAAAAUAUUUCCAUUUCUAUGUGCUGUUUAAUUCACUUGCAAAAGAAAUGUCAAAGUCUCCAUGACCUAAGGUUCAGAAUUAAUCCCAGCUUUUAUUUCUGGCCUCAAUACCUACUAAUUCCCUUGAAAAAUUUUCUACUAUAUGCACAUGUGCUUUCUUUCCUGUCUUAAGUCCUGUAUUUUCCCUUACAACAUGUAGCCUCCCUUGAAAUACUAACAAUAGCUUUUACCGAGUAGGUCCCAAACUCUAUUUUAGGUGUCUAUAGGUAUCAUCACACUUACAUUCCACAAUAACCCUCUGCUAUAGGU
rnacentral:lncRNA from 12 species